GACGAACGCUGGCGGCGUGCUUAACACAUGCAAGUCGAACGAUGAAGAAGAGCUUGCUCUUCGGAUUAGUGGCGAACGGGUGAGUAACACGUGACUAACCUGCCCCUUUCUCUGGGAUAACGCUCCGAAAGGAGUGCUAAUACCGGAUACUCACAUCGAGGCACAUGCCUUGAUGUGGAAAGUUUUUCGGAAAGGGAUGGAGUCGCGGCCUAUCAGCUUGUUGGUGAGGUAACGGCUCACCAAGGCGACGACGGGUAGCCGGCCUGAGAGGGCGACCGGCCACACUGGGACUGAGACACGGCCCAGACUCCUACGGGAGGCAGCAGUGGGGAAUAUUGCACAAUGGGCGAAAGCCUGAUGCAGCGACGCCGCGUGAGGGAUGAAGGUCUUCGGAUUGUAGACCUCUUUCAGUAGGGACGAAGCGGAAGUGACGGUACCUAAAGAAGAAGCACCGGCUAACUACGUGCCAGCAGCCGCGGUAA
rnacentral:rRNA from 1 species